UGGGCUUUGUGUGUUUUGAUUUAUUAACUCUCAUACAGCCACAUGAGGGGUGCUAUUAUUAACCCUAUUUUGUAGAUCAGGGCAACAGAGGACCGUGCUAGAGGGGCCCGGAAGAGGAGAGGAGUCUGUCCAUCAGAUGCAAUCAUGAAGGACUUCACAGACAGAAGCAUCUACCAUGGGCCUCAUGGGGUCAUUUGGGGAGGUUACAUGUCCACCAUCUAGAGGGGAAACCUGGGCUCAACGCAGUUAAAUGACAGGCCCACCAUCAGUGGCAGAGCUGAGAUGAGAGUAGUAAAAAAAGGAUGAGUUCUACUUUAUUUCCUGUCUCUGUCUUGCAGGCUUGCCUCUCUUCUUGACCUGCUCCCUACCUCCCUGCCACGCUUUCCCUGUCCUACACUUUGGCUUGUUGACUUCUGUUUUUCUAUUAAGUAGGAAUAAACAGUUCUCUGACAUUCUGAGAAUAUCAAAAGCAAAAAUAAAGGGGCCAUUUUGUUGGGUAGCAGAAAACACGUUUCUUAUUUCUCUGUUGCAUUACAUCCUAUUUCUCUAUUCUUCUGUUGCAUUGUCAUAACUUUUAAUACCCAAUUUUAACAAGAAAACAUCUUUUAAAUAACCACAUUCCUAAGAGAGGUGGUCCACGGAGUUCAGUUACCCCUGCAGAGUGUUAUCACAAAAUCACCUUGAAAUGUUUGUUUAUAAACUAUUUCAAGUAGUGGUUGCACCAAACAUAAUUGCUUCCAGAGAGAAGGACACAAUAGACUGCAUUACUCCUCAGAACCCCUGGCUGAUUCUCAUUUAGUCUGAAGCUAACUCUUAAGGCCCACUUAUGUUCCUAGCCUGGCCAGCUCUUAUUUUCAUGGCUGCUUUAGUCACAAUUUACAAUCCAUUUUAGACAUGCCCCCACUUCUACCACGUAGUAGGAGUUCCAAGAAGGAAGUGUUAUCCUCAGUGACCAGGGAGAGAACUAGUAACCAGUGCUUUUUGUGUAUUUUGCGGGCCUCCACAUUUCCCAGAAGUUGUUUUAAAAAAUCUAUUUUCUGCCCCUCCUGAAACACUCUAUUCAAGAACUCAGUCCUCUGAUGGCUACCACACCAUUUCUUCAUUAUGCCCUGGGUUCCUUGGCCGCCUCCUGCCUCACAUAGAAGUUAGACAAAAAGGCAACUUUUAGAAAAAGGCAAGAUGUGGAAACAGAAAGCCAUGGCAGCAGCUGCUGAGCUAAGCAGCUGAUAAGGGGGAACAAAUUUGUGCCCUUAGUGUUUGUUUGGAGGUCAGGGUGGUGGCCCAGCAGGAUAGGGGGAAAGCUCUUUGUCUACGGUGUGAUUUGCCCAUCUGGCCUAUUCAGCAUCCCCUGGACCAGCUGACCCCUGUCACCAGCUUCACUAGCUCCUUCAUGGGCUCCAAGCUUGUUAAGCUGUAAUGAGCAUAUCCUUGAGUUUCCUAAUUAACUUUGCAACAGUCCUGACA
rnacentral:lncRNA from 1 species